UAAAAAAGAGGAAUGCGCAUUCUACGAAUCGUAAAAAUAUCCACUUUCCUUCCGAAUGCAUCUUCUACUUUUAUAAAGUAUUCUAAAUUUUCGAGAAUGUGUUUUCUACAAUGUACUCUUAUGUCUACUCAAAGUAGAAAGUGUAUUCAGAAUUUUAUCAUUCUUCUACACUUUUAGAAGUCACCUUCUACGGAUAAGAAUACCUGAUUUUUUGCGAAAAUUAAUGAAAUUUCAGUUAAGAAAAUAUUCUAAAAAUCCCCUAGGAAG
rnacentral:lncRNA from 1 species